rnacentral:rRNA from 1 species
AUGAACGCUGGCGGCGUGCCUAAUACAUGCAAGUCGAGCGAACGGACGAGAAGCUUGCUUCUCUGAUGUUAGCGGCGGACGGGUGAGUAGCACGUGGAUAACCUACCUAUAAGACUGGGAUAACUUCGGGAAACCGGAGCUAAUACCGGAUAAUAUUUUGAACCGCAUGGUUCAAAAGUGAAAGACGGUCUUGCUGUCACUUAUAGAUGGAUCCGCGCUGCAUUAGCUAGUUGGUAAGGUAACGGCUUACCAAGGCAACGAUGCAUAGCCGACCUGAGAGGGUGAUCGGCCACACUGGAACUGAGACACGGUCCAGACUCCUACGGGAGGCAGCAGUAGGGAAUCUUCCGCAAUGGGCGAAAGCCUGACGGAGCAACGCCGCGUGAGUGAUGAAGGUCUUCGGAUCGUAAAACUCUGUUAUUAGGGAAGAACAUAUGUGUAAGUAACUGUGCACAUCUUGACGGUACCUAAUCAGAAAGCCACGGCUAACUACGUG